UGCCAGCAGCCGCGGUAAGACGGAGGGUCCGAGCGUUAUCCGGAAUCAUUGGGUUUAAAGGGUUCACAGGCGGUCAAUUAAGUCAGAGGUGAAAGCCCAUCGCUCAACGAUGGAACUGCCUUUGAUACUGGUUGACUUGAGUUAUACGGAAGUAGAUAGAAUAAGUAGUGUAGCGGUGAAAUGCAUAGAUAUUACUUAGAAUACCGAUUGCGAAGGCAGUCUACUACGUAUAUACUGACGCUGAGGUGCGAAAGUGUGGGGAGCAAACAGGGUUAGAUA
rnacentral:rRNA from 1 species